GGCUAUUGGGUCAGUGAAGUCUCCUCAACAGCAGCGCUGCAGGAAGAAGGGCUGCAGCAGCAGCACAGAGACAUAGCACUGAGCAUCCUGUCGUUCUCCUACAUCUGUGUCAUACAGCUCUUAAGAUGUGUCCUAUACAGACAACAUUCCAGGGACCUUUCCAGCCUACGUUGCCAGUUAUUAGGUGGGAGGAUGAAGCUAUUUUCAAAUCUGAGACUCUGAUGCAAAACUGUGCAGAUUUCUGAAUACACUGGAGAUGUGUGUGUUUGCACCAGCCCAUGGAAUGCCCACGAGGGUGUUUCCUGAAGCUUAAGGAGGGUCUGAAUAAAUGUUUUUUAUGUCUAAGGAGACGUGUCCUAGAGAGUCAGACAUACUGCCUCUGAAGGUCUUUGGCCCAACCUCCCACCUCAAGUGGAUCUAUUGCCCACACUGGAUCACAUCAGUGUGGCUGUGACCUGCAUGGGAGACCAUUUGGGAAUGUGUUCAGCAUUUAUUAAUCUUUGGACAAUUAGACCUUCUGGGACUCUUCCUUUUUCCUUGUUAGUUUUUUAAACGAGGAUAAAACACAUUUAUCUGUGGAUAAACAGAAUAGUUCUAAUACUCUGACAAAUACUAUCAUUUGGCUGUUAUGCCAUUCAUCCAUUAGUUUUUUUAGUGGAUUGAUUGGAAAACUUUCCCACUACCUGUUUGUAAGAAAUUCUGCACAUCACUGCUACAUGUACUCACAUGUAUUCACAAAUGCUUCAGCUCAUACAUUUACUACAGUAUUGAAUAUAUUGAUAGUUUUUGUCAACGUUAGAACUCUCUGGCUCUGCUCCAGAUCUUCCAGCCCCUGGAGAGAGUUCUGAGUGCAGAUUCAGCUGAGCUCCCCAGCUUCUACACAGUCAUAGUUACAUUCCUGUGCAGGGCAGUACUCAAGUUCUGCUUAUGUGAAGGAUAAGAAACAGCUUGUGUUUCACUGACCUUGUGUACAAAUUGCUCUACUCUGGUUUGAAGCCCCCAGACUUCAAAUUUCACAGUCACAAGCUUGUAGGAACACAUGAUGGGCUGAUGUGUCUCUCUCCAGCCUUCUUUUAACUGGCCUCUCCCAGUCUUCUGUGACUUGAAAUAUUUAGGAUCCUGCAAAACAAAGAAAACACACUGGGAAAUGCAGGAGAGGAAGUCCUGUUUGUUAAUGCGUGAAAGUAAAUGUUUUGAUAAGACAUAAGAUAUUACAACGUGCUAAUAAACAUCAUGAAAAAGUAACAUGAAACUGACUUAAAUAAGUACCAGAAUACACUAAAAUCCAAUCUGUCUUUUAGUCCAGCAGCCAGUGAAUCGAUGGCAGCAUAUUCUUGGAGAUGCCUUAACAAUCCUAUCAUCUAGGGCAUUUUCUGCUAUAGGAAAAUAGAUUAUUGCAAGUAAUUACAACACAGUGCACUCCAAAUGUUAUUUAUGGCCUUUGGAAAAGAACCAAACCCAUGGCUUCUUCAGAGCUGCUUUCCCACUGCUCCCUCAGGAUGACUUACUAGUACUGUCUACCCAUGUCCUUCUUGCUGAAAUCAUGUCCAAUUGGUCACACAGACACUGAUGUGACCCUCACAAUGCCAUUUUCAAUGUUAAGUAUUUUGUAUAUCCAGGUGGGCAGUAUUAAACUCCUUCAAUUCAGCCGCCCCUGGUUACAAGUGAGUUACAGACAAAACACUAAAGAAUUGAACUCUGUCUCUCUUCUAAAAAAUGCAAAAUCAAAUAAAUUGGUGUGGAAAUUACAAAAGCAAGACCAAAAAACCAAUAAUGGUAUUAGUUAAUCAUACAGUUUUAUCUGUCAAAGAGUAAUUUUCCGUAUUGGUAUAAUUCCAUUUCACUUUAUGUCCAAUCCUGACAAUUACAUCUUGUAAAUAGAAAUAAUUUACAGUUAAGCAUUGAUUUUCAAAGCUUAAAAAUAAUGUACUUCUAGUAAAUUCAUAGUGGAGCUUCUAAAAAUCUCUCUUCAAGAGUAACCACCCAUGCUUGCCUGUGCUGUCUUCCCCAAAGCUGAGAUUUGGGAAGAUCUUUUGAAUCCAUCCUUUGUUAUAAAAGCAAAACAUUAAACAUGUAUUUACACAUGUGCUUAAAUUAUGAAUUAAAUGGAAAACAAUCAGGAGAAAAACUAACAAAAAAUUGAUACAACUAUUCCGAUCUUAAUUUUCUUUCAUUCAUUGUGAGCUUAUAUAUCAUUCAGCAUUCCUUUUUCUAAUGUUCAGCUAUCUCCUGACUCAGCUUCUGAUUUUAUCCAUAAACUGAAGCUCUGUUAUUAAAGCCUCUCUACAAAGCUCUAAUGAGGUGAUAGUCUUGCUGCUCUGUGAAAGUCAUUGCAUUUAUUGCUGACAUACCCUUUUCUAAAUAGAAACUUGAAGCUUGCAGCAUAAUAAGGUUCCAAUGUUAAAUCACAAUGAGAAACAAUUCAGUGUCAUCAUUUAUCAGAGCAAUAUACCACCGUACAUCACAGCUCAUAGUCUCAUGCUGUUGCCAAUCUUCUCACUCAAUACAACUUGACCUCAGAUUGAUCUAGAUGUUUUUUGCUUGAAUUCAUCAAUGUAAUAAAAAUAAGAAAAGCAAAAAAGAGAAGAACUAAGAUGUAAUAUUCAGCAAGAUGUAAAAUUCUAGUAGAUUGUUCUGUAAAUAAAGAAAUAACUACAGGAAAUAUGAUUUCAAAUAUUCCUGCAAAAUAUUCCAGUGUUAAAUAAGCAUUUCUAGAAAGGAAA